CUGUCUUUCAUACUGUGCUCCCUUGUAUCAAGAAACUCGGCGCAGGUGGAGCUGUGGAAAGCGGCGCCGCUGUCCUGGGUGGCUUCGGCUGUCCUGGGAGGUUCCAGAGUCUCGCCUGCUGUCCCAAACCCCGUGGCAGGGAGAUGAAGGUCUGUGCCGAGCCCAGGGAGGAACGGGCAGGGCUGCUCUCUCCGGGCAAACACAGGACUCGAGGGCAACGCAGACAUUCCGGGGUAGAACAGGGUCAUGCCUUUCCAGACUCUCAGUCUCCAGGAAAAGCACGUGAAGAUAGAAAGGCAGAAGCAUAUCGGAGCUGUGAGAGGAGGAAGCUCCUUCACAGUCCAGGACCACUCGCUAUGCAACUCGUGGCACUUCACUGCGGCUCUUCUGAGGACAGCAGCGUUAGCUGAAGUGCCGCGAGAUGUCAGCCGCCCCAGCCGUACGGAAAGCAGAGGACCCUGGUAGGUACGCUAAAUCUACUUAAGGCCUUCCGUUCCUUGUGGGUGCUCAGGCUGGUCCGUCCGUCAGCGGGUGAAGCCAUCAGCUGUGAUGGGAGGGAGGAGGAACCAAGGCAUAACAGUCAACGACGACAUUUGUGUGCAUGCAAGUAAAGGGUUUAUUCCCUCCUGUUCACAGUGAUGAGUAUUUAACCAUUUAAAAGGCCUAAUUAGAAGACAAAUGAGAUGUUUGAUCGCCCUGUUGCAACCAAGAUAUAAAGCAUGCACAUAUAUAUGUAUGAUGUGUAUAUGUAUGCAUAUGUGCUGAAAUGAGUUCUCUAGUCCCUUAGUGUUUAGUUUAUUUGUAAUGAAAAGUCUUUGUUCAGAAGGAAGAAAGAUCAACAUUUAUUUCAGAAAUGUGGUUAGUGCAUUCUCUUCAUGUGUGUGUGCAUAUACGUGCACCUAAUUCACAAUUUCCAGCCCCCAGUUCCCAAAUGCUUGGCCCCACUCUGCCGCUGACAUUGUAAUUCUCAAAGCCAUAAUGUAAUCCUCAAAAAUUUGGAAAAGUUAAUGUUUCUUUUCAUAGCUUUAAAAGUAACUCUCUCCACUCUCUCAAAAGGCUAAAAUUUAGCUCCUCAGCAAAGCUGGAUUGUUUUGAAAGCAUGGAAGACAUUUCUUGAAGACAAAAAACCUCUUUUUUUUUUUUAACUUUGAACUAUGUGAAAUUUGCCAUUAUUUGUGGGAUAUCUAUACCUUGAGUUCUGGUGCAAAGCUUCAGCGAGGAACUGAAUAUUAACCAACAAUACAGAGAAAAUUCCAUAAGCUAUUUCCAGACAAGAUAUUGCAGUGAUAUGUAAAAUCCUUCUCCAGUUACUGCUUUCCUGAUCCAGUUGGCAUGAAAUGUUACUUCUACUUACUAUUAUCGUAAAAACCGCAGGGGUUUCUUCUUGCUGCUACUUGUUUUGUCAAAGAUCCAGUAAUUUGUAACAUGUGAAUUAACAUUUUGCAGUAGCAGAAGAACAGAGUGCACCGUCGAUGAUGAGAAGUGGUGUUCUGCAUUUAAAUCUAUGACAAGCGUCAGGGCAAGAAAACCACAAUCUUUAAGCAGCAAUGGACUUACACAUCAAAUAGCUUACAUUUCUCCUGCUGGUGACCACCUCUGUGAAUAUCUGC